UACAGAGGUGGCGAGCGUUGUUCGGAUUUACUGGGCGUAAAGGGUGCGCAGGUGGUUCCGUAUGUCGGGUGUGAAAUCCCACGGCUCAACCGUGGAAUGGCAUUCGAAACUGCGGUUCUUGAGUACAGGAGGGGAGAGCGGAAGUCUUGGUGUAGCGGUGAAAUGCGUUGAUAUCAAGAGGAACGCCGGUGGCGAAGGCGGCUCUCUGGAAUGUUACUGACACUGAGGCACGAAAGCUGGGGGAGCAAACAGG
rnacentral:rRNA from 1 species